rnacentral:rRNA from 1 species
ACUACGGGUGGCAGCAGUGGGGGAUAUUGCACAAUGGGGGGAACCCUGAUGCCGCGACGCCGCGUGGGUGAAGGAGCGUUUCGGCGCGUAAAGCCCUAUUGGCAGGGAAGAAGAUGACGGUACCUGACCAAGAAGCACCGGCUAACUACGUGCCAGCUGCCGCGGUAAUACGUGGGGGGCCAGCGUUAUCCGGAUUUACGGGGUGUAAAGGGGGCGCAGACGGCAAUGCAAGCCAGGGGUGAAAGCCCGGGGCCCAACCCCGGGACUGCUCUGGGAACUGCAUGGCUGGAGUACAGGAGGGGCAGGCGGAAUUCCUAGUGUAGCGGUGAAAUGAGUAGAGAGUAGGAGGAACACCGGUGGCGAAGGCGGCCUGCUGGACUGUGACUGACGUUGAGGCCCGAAGGCGUGGGGAGCAAACAGGAUUAGAUACCCUAGUAGUC